rnacentral:rRNA from 1 species
ACGGAAGGCAGCAGUUAGGAAUAUUGGACAAUGGGGGCAACCCUGAUCCAGCCAUGCCGCGUGAGUGUUAAGGCCUUCGGGUUGUAAAGCUCUUUUGUAUGGGAAAAUGAUGAUGGUACCAUAAGAAUAAGCACCGGCUAACUUCGUGCCAGCAGCCGCGGUAAUACGAAGGGUGCAAGCGUUGUUCGGAAUUACUGGGCGUAAAGGGCGCGUAGGCGGAUAGAUUAGUCAGGAGUGAAAUCCCGAGGCUUAACCUCGGAACUGCUUUUGAAACGGUCUAUCUUGAGUAUGACAGGGGAUGAUGGAAUACCCAGUGUAGAGGUGAAAUUCGUAGAUAUUGGGUAGAACACCAGAGGCGAAGGCGGUCAUCUGGGUCAUUACUGACGCUGAGGCGCGAAAGCGUGGGGAUCAAACAGGAUUAGAUACCCUGGUA